rnacentral:lncRNA from 1 species
CAAAGAGAUUGACAGUGGAAAAUAUAUGACUCAACCAAACUACUCGUAACAUGGUGUCAUGACUCAUAGUCAGUCAAUUGUACUCAGAGUAAAACCUAGCCAAUUACACAAUGGUUUCAUAACAGCUUGGGUCACUAUACCCGUAACCAUACAUAAGACUCGUAUGGUGAGUCAUCAAUAGGUUAGAGAACUCAAAGAUAUAGGAACUUUUUAAGGACAAAUCC